rnacentral:rRNA from 1 species
CUUAUUUGUUAAAUGUGGUAGCUUGCUGUAAGAGCCCUAGCAUGUACCUCUAUCUCUAAUUUACUUUUUGUCCCCUCCUGCUGCUUGUCAUCAUCGAUCUUAAUAACUAAGAGGGGCCGAAAUAAAACAUGAACCUGGUCGUCCUCUUCCUGCUAAUGGAUCCUUAAUGUUGCUACAAUUCUGAACUUAUUUGUUCAAUCGUACUAGUACUGAUGAAUACCGAGUUGAUUGAAAAAGAUAUGUGUCGAAAAGUUCACUUCAUCUGCAUACAUAAGUUCAAAAAAUUGUCGUAGAGCUAGUUCAAAAGAUUGUCAAAAGGUAGAAUGGUUGUGCUAUUUCAAUUUUUUCAGUCCAUCUUCUGUGUGCUAUUCAGUACAUCUAAUUCCAAAUUCUAAGUACAAUUGCCUUUAUGUUUUCCAUCUUCAUAUAGCACAAAACAGGCACUGGAGGAUAAGGUGAGAAUAUAUACUAAUGAAAUGUUUGGUGGCGUUGUCCACAUUUUGAAUUUAAACCACUAGCUUUUUUAUACACGAGGGCUUGUCCUGGGAGAGCCCUAUAUAGCCAUGUGCAAUACUGCUACAAACUUUAAUCCCCCAUUGUCCGGCCUGCGGAGCAUUAGGAAAAGUUCAAAUUUUGUAAUUCAUUCAGUUCUUCUGGUUAGUAGACUAGUGGUUCAUCUUGAUAAAUCUGGCGGUUUAAAGUUUCUCUAUGUUUUGUUACAGCAGUUGUGUAUUUUUAGAAGAAAAACAACAACGGCGGCUGCACUGGAGCAGCAGGACUACUAUUGCUGAUAGGUUUGUGAACUAAUAAACAUUCUUUUUUAUGUUCUUGUGAUGUUUCAUACUUUCAUGAACUUAUAGUUGAUGCUCUUUGUGAACUGAUAGCUGAUUCUUUUUGUUAACUGGUAAACUAAAUAAUGACAUGGAUGUAUUAUCAGGCCGUGAAAAUGAUGUAAAAAAUAUGUGCAGAUUAGUGGAUGAGUGCUAUCUAGAUUCUUCUAAUAUGAAGAUAGUGGCACCACUAAGAAAAAGAGAAAUAAUCGGUUUUUCUGUAGCCACGGAAUGGGCAUUUGGCUCAGUCAUCUUCCAUUGCUGGAGGUACUACCUCUUGAGUUAAUUUAUGAAACUGAAAUCAUCCUUUUUGGUGUUUUCAUGUUGUCAAAUAAAAGCAAUUUUUUUUGACAUGCUCAGUACAAAAAAAUUUGUUUAUGUCGGAUCCAGACCGCCCCCAUCUCCGACCGGAUCCAGGUCCGCUCCCCUGAUAGCCACCAUGGCUUGUGUCGUUGGUGCUAGUGUGGAUGUGCGACAUGUUCAUGUCCCCAGUCUAUGCCAAGUUCAGGUAUGUUCCUGGUUGCUGGUGUAUAUUCCGCUGAUGUGUGACAAAUUCAUAGUGUGCCUUCUUUUUAGUUCAGUGAGUUCAGUUCAUGUCUUAUUUUUCUUCGUCAGAAUGCACGUCGGUCUCGUUGUGGAUGCUUCUGUAGUUCGGCAGUCCAACUAAUUGCUCUACCACCGGUUGCUCAAAGCGCCGUGUGAAGUCCAACCCGUGCUCCGCCCCUGGAUCCGGCUCAGCGCCAGUUCCUUGGCGGUUGCUACCCGUCCGCUGCUCCUUCCGCUGUCUACGCACAACUCCUAGUGCGUAGCAACUGUGUUCUGUAAUUUCAGAAUUUAAUAGGACGUGCUCUUUGACCUACAUUGCUUCGGAAAGGACAAUCCCUAGGUAAAUCUUCUUCAUGAUUUCAGGGCUAUGAAGUGAAUUAUUUGUUGUUACGAUCUAUUUAGCACAUAUAGUUACAAAACAUAGUUCAAAUAAAUUUCCCCCAAAAGUUCAGUAUUUAGGGUUCUGCGCCUGUCCUUACAUUAGCUAGUCUUCAUCAUGUCCAGAUAAUGCCUAAAGUGAAGACAUUAUUUUAUUUCAAUUCAACUUUUGAAUGUCUUUCAGUUCAUCUACUUCUCGGUCGUCCUGAGUUGCAGCAUUGCUGCUACUGUCAAUGUGUUUGCAAGUUGCAACCAUUAUUGAUGCAUUUGUAUUUCAGAUCACUGAGGGUUUCAUGAGGAUGUGCUAAAAAUUUGUUAUUGUCGGUUGCUCUUUGUUGCAUUUGGUACCGUCAAUUAAAAUUUGUUACGUCAAUGGUGAUAAUGUACGUCAGUGCAUGUGUGCUAGUACUAGUGUACUUGCGAAGUGACCCUCCUCCUAGUACAGCCAAUUCAAUUUCUUGCAUUUCCAUCUGGAGUACAAAAAUGAUCAGUACGAAUUAAAACAAUGAUCAGUUUGAAAAUAAAAGAAAUGAUUACUUCGAAUUAAAAAUUGGUUUGAAUUAAAAACAAUGAUCAGUUCAAAUUUAAAAAAGAUGAUCGGUUCGAAUGCGUAGCUACUGAAAGGUACAUUCUUUCAUUAGUAUAAAUGCAAUUUGUUAAUAAAAAUAAACAGUGAUUCAGUAUGUAUUAUAUGAGCAAUUCAUACAAAAAAGAAGAAGCAAAAAGUAGUGAUUCAAUAUGUAUUAUAUGUCCAAAUUUUGUUUUAUUCAGCACAAGGCUUCCAAGCAUUGAUCAGAUGUGUUUCAGUUCGUCUACUUCCCAGUCGUCCUGUGUUAGCUAGAUCAGUACUAGUGAUCAGCAGUACGACAAGUAGCAGUACUGAUCAGUACGACCUACACAGAUACUAUUACUGAUCAGUAAUAUUCUUAAUGUUAAAAGUAACAUCCAUAUAGAAAAAAUGCUUCUAUUCUAACACACAAUGUUUUGCAAAAAAGAGCACUAGUACUGAUGAGUCGUACCUACAAGGAUGCCGUCUACAAUUCUGAAAUUAUUGUUGAGUCAUACUAGUACUAUUACUGUUGAAAAUGGGAAGCAAGUGUCACAUGAAUCCUCAAUUGAAUGGGAAGCAAGUUGAUCCUCGCUCCUUCAACUCCACUUCGCCAGUGCCCGUCAGUCUGCAGGAGUAGGGGCGGCAUGUCCGUCAACAAACAAGAACAGAAGGGAGCAAUUGGCGCCGAAUGGGCCCCUGGGAGCUAGUCCAACCCGCUCGCAGACUGGAGGGCAUGCCGGUUUAUUUCCAAUGAAGCCCUAUGUACAAUCAGUCUGUUCGUUUGAUAAGAAAGGAGACAACAUAGAAGUUAUGGUUGAAGCAAGUCCCUCCGUCCAGUUAUGUCCGAUUUUUGUGAUAGUAGUUCAAAAUGAGGGAUAUAUUGUAUAAACUUUUUUGGACUUGUGCCCAGGCUGCUUCUAAACAACUCCAA